UACGAGGGGUGCAAGCGUUGCUCGGAAUUAUUGGGCGUAAAGGGUAGGUAGGUGGUCUGAUUUGUCUGGGGUGAAAGCCUUGGGCUUAACUCAAGAAGUGCCCCAGAAACGGUCAGACUGGAGUCUCGGAGAGGGUCGUGGAAUUCCCGGUGUAGCGGUGAAAUGCGUAGAGAUCGGGAGGAACACCAGCGGCGAAGGCGGCGACCUGGACGAGCACUGACACUCAACUACGAAAGCGUGGGGAGCAAACAGG
rnacentral:rRNA from 1 species